rnacentral:rRNA from 1 species
GGGGGGGUACGUUUACCGGACUAUUGCGCGUAAAGGCUCGCACGCGGUUUCUUAGGUCUGAUGUGAUAGCCCCCGGCUCCGCCGGGGAGGGUCAUUGUAAACUGGGGAACUUGAGUGCAGAGGAGGAGAAAGGAAUUCCACGUGUAGCGGUGAAAUGCGUAGAGAUGUGGAGGAACACCAGUGGCGAAGGCGACUCUCUGGUCUGUAACUGACGCUGAGGAGCGAAAGCGUGGGGAGCGAACAGGAUUAGAUACCCUGGUAGUCCACGCCGUAAACGAUGAGUGCUAAGUGUUAGGGGGUUUCCGCCCCUUAGUGCUGCAGCUAACGCAUUAAGCACUCCGCCUGGGGAGUACGGUCGCAAGACUGAAACUCAAAGGAAUUGACGGGGGCCCGCACAAGCGGUGGAGCAUGUGGUUUAAUUCGAAGCAACGCGAAGAACCUUACCAGGUCUUGACAUCCUCUGACAAUCCUAGAGAUAGGACGUCCCCUUCGGGGGCAGAGUGACAGGUGGUGCAUGGUUGUCGUCAGCUCGUGUCGUGAGAUGUUGGGUUAAGUCCCGCAACGAGCGCAACCCUUGAUCUUAGUUGCCAGCAUUCAGUUGGGCACUCUAAGGUGACUGCCGGUGACAAACCGGAGGAAGGUGGGGAUGACGUCAAAUCAUCAUGCCCCUUAUGACCUGGGCUACACACGUGCUACAAUGGACAGAACAAAGGGCAGCGAAACCGCGAGGUUAAGCCAAUCCCACAAAUCUGUUCUCAGUUCGGAUCGCAGUCUGCAACUCGACUGCGUGAAGCUGGAAUCGCUAGUAAUCGCGGAUCAGCAUGCCGCGGUGAAUACGUUCCCGGGGCCUUGUACACACCGCCCGUCACACCACGAAGAGUUUGUAACACCCCGAAGUCGGUGAGGUAACCUUUUUAGGAGCCAGCCGCCGAAAGGUGGGACAGAAUGAUUGGGGGUGAAGUCGUACAGGGGGGAACCCGUAAAAAAUACAACCUACACCCCCCCCCCCCCCCCCCCCCCCCCCGCCACCCCCCCCCCCCCC